ACUGGAAGACACAAGAAUUGCCUACCCGAGAAGAAUGGCAGAGAAAAGUGAUAGAAUAUAUGGAACUGGCUGAGAUGACCGGCAGAAUUCGAGAUCAGGAAGAAGGGUCGAUGGAAGAAGACUGGAAAAAAUUUAAAAUAUAUCUUCAGAAAUACUGUAAUAUAAAAGAAUGUUAGAAAAGGUUGGAGAAGAAUAUUAGACCGUAUUGGCAGACAGAGUAUAAUGGAAUAAGUAAAUAUGAAGUGUAAAACAAAGAUAGAGGAGAAUUAAAUACUUUCGAAUGUUAAAAUAAGUAAAUGAAAAGAAGGUUAGAAGGAUUUGCUGGAGAUACGAUUCAAACUAGAAUACAAAGCAGAGAGGUGAGAGGAAGUCAUGGAAAUAAGUAAAUGGGAAGACGGUUUUAAUGGUUUAAUUUGAUUUUUUGUUACUUUUUUAUUGUGAUUUUCUGUCUUUUGUAUUUUUCUUUGUAUUGUGUGUUUUUUUUGUAAGAUGUAUGUGAUUUGUUUUUCUUUUUCUACUUUUUUCUUUUUCUGUAAUUUUAAAAUUGGAAUAAAUAUUCUU